rnacentral:rRNA from 1 species
ACUCCUACGGGAGGCAGCAGUGGGGAAUUUUGGACAAUGGGCGAAAGCCUGAUCCAGCAAUGCCGCGUGCAGGAUGAAGGCCCUCGGGUUGUAAACUGCUUUUGUACGGAACGAAAAGCCUGGGGCUAAUAUCCCCGGGUCAUGACGGUACCGUAAGAAUAAGCACCGGCUAACUACGUGCCAGCAGCCGCGGUAAUACGUAGGGGUGCAAGCGUUAAUCGGAAUUACUGGGGCGUAAAGCGUGCGCAGGCGGUUUUGUAAGACAGUGGUGAAAUCCCCGGGGCUCAACCUGGGGAACUGCCAUUGUGACUGCAAAGCUAGAGUGCGGCAGAGGGGGAUGGAAUUCCGCGUGUAGCAGUGAAAUGCGUAGAUAUGCGGAGGAACACCGAUGGCGAAGGCAAUCCCCUGGGCCUGCACUGACGCUCAUGCACGAAAGCGUGGGGAGCAAACAGGAUUAGAUACCCUGGUAGGUCAGUC